rnacentral:lncRNA from 1 species
UUUGUAAACCCUCCUGACCACCUGGCUCAAAGAAAACAGAAGCAUGGAGACCGCCAAGUAUUUUCAAGAAAUAACCCCAUGAAUAUUCCAUCACUUUUUUAGAAAGAGGGGCUUGGGGCAGGCAGAGGAGAGAAGGGAGAGCAAACUGAGAGCCAAGUUUCCACACGGUCCUGCAGGAGGAGAGGAUGCAGCUGCCCAGAGGGAAGCAGGAUCACAUUUAAGGAAGUGUGUGGGGUCCCUGGAUGACACCAGCACCCAGUGCGGCUCUGUCUGGCACCCGCUCCCAAGGUGGGAGGAG